GUGAGUAUAGUUUUUAUUCAGUGGGGAAUACUAUGGUCUAGCUGUCAGUUUCAAGAGCUGUUUUAUUUUGUUUUUUCUUUCUCAGAUCAUUUAUUUCCACAUUCAACAAAUAUAAGUUUCUGGAUGCGUCUGGCAUUGUGUGACAUUCAAGAAAUAGAUUGGAAAACAAGACAGCCAGGUAAAAGAGGGAAUCUGAGCAAACACCCUGAGAUGGAAGAACACAAGUCACAUUUGAAGUCCUGGAGGAAAUCCUGUAAGAUAAGUCUGGAUUUUAAGGACCAGAUAGGCCGGGCGUGGUGGCUCACGCCUGUAAUCCCAGCUCUUUGGGAGGCCGAGGCGGGCUGAUCAUCUGAGGUUGGGAGUUGGAGACCAGCCUGCUGACCAAAACGUAGAAACCCCAUCUCUACUAAAAAUACAAAAUUAGCUGGGCAUGGUGGCACAUGCCUGUAAUCCCAGCUACUUGGGAGGCUGAGGCAGGAGAAUCGCUUGAACCCGGGAGGCGGAGGUUGUGGUGAACCGAGAUCAUGCCAUUGCACUCCAGCCUGGCCAACAAGAGCAAAACUCUGACUCAAAAAAAACAAAACAACAACAACAACAACAACAAAAACAAGAAAAAAAGGAGUAAGGAGCAGAUAGUGGGAGAUUAGACUGGUGAAAUGAGCAGAGCCAAAUUAAGCAGGACUUUAAGGUCAUAUUAGAGAUUCUCAACUAUGUCCAAAAAAGAGCAGCAAGACACCAAUAAUAACAGCGUCCUCCCUCACCCCACACCCUUUCCAGGAGCCACUGCUCCGUAGCCACACUAAGGGGCUUGAUUUUUCAUCCUUUAUUCCCCUCUCUGACUCCCAGACAUGCUCCCAAUGAGGAUGAAAGGGUUUGGAUUGUUAGUUCUGUCGACCAGGAAGGCCCUGAUUUGUGCUCAGUGCUGGUGGGGGUGGGGGUGGGAGAUUUAUUUAAAAAGAAGAGGAAAGAAAAAAAGAGAUCUCUAUAGGCAAGUUAGCUUUUCAAAGUUUCAAAUAAUAGAAUAUAUGCCAUGUGUUUCUUUUAUCUCUUUAUCCAGGUAUGUUUGACAUUAUAUUUUAGAUUUGGAUUUAAGAGUCUAGUAUUCCAUGGAUUUUCUUUUAUCCGAUGCCCAGAGAUUUUUAAUUUUUUUCAAUGUCUUCAAUGCAUUCAGCUUCUAAGUAAUCUAAUUGAUGUGGGAUUAUUAGUGUGCAGACGAAUAGACUAAAAUAUAGAUGUAGAUUUUUUUCAAAUUACAUAUUUACAUCUAUAAAAAUCAACUCAAUGAAAAAUGUUAAAAGUAUAGAAUUACUUAUAAAUAAUUCUUGUUUGUGACUCCUUAAAAUUAGUAUAAUUUUCUCCCCUAACUUCAAGGAUUGUGAUAAGAAUUACAUGGAAUAACAUAUCUAACGGAUAUUCACUCUAUGUGUAUAUUACCUUCCCUUCUGCCAAAAGGACUGUUCUUAGGAGAAGCCAAGACUAACCACAUGGAGCUGACCCAUUUAAUCUGUAUCUUUCAUCUUCCUCAGUUUGAUUUGGAAUUUGUCAGUGGUAGGAUACUAAUGGAGUUGAUAUUUUUGGCUACAAUUAGAGUAUAUGCAAGAAGGUUAAGCAAAAGCACCAGUAAAUGCAAAGUUGUUUUGGAUUCCAUUUCUCUUUGAACUGUGUCCAAAAAAGAGCAAUCAAACACCAAUGCACUUCCCAGUGAAAAUCUAUGCAGUUAUGAGUCCACAAUAACUUGUCAGACUUUGUCUAGGUGGAGCUGAGCUGAAAAAAUAAAUCUAAAAAAAUAAACUGCCCUAGGCUACCAUUCCUGUGAUUUAUUUGAAUGAAAACACAAAAUUAUCUGAAUGCAUAAGGAAAUUAUUAUAUUAAGUGAUCUAAAUAAGAAGAAUUCAAUGUCUGGAGAGGAGAUGACUGUUUUUUUUCAAAAGCACCAGAAUUCCUGCUGACAUCACUUAGAAUCAUUAGUCUUCCUAUAAUUAUUUCACCUUCUCUUUAACCUUGUGUUCAUGCCUCCAUUUGUCUACAUUUUUGUCUUAACUGGACAAAAAUCACACAAACUCUUUCAAAGUUGUAAAACCAGCAUAUUAUUAUUUAGAUUUUUACCAACUUGAAAAUCCAGUUGGUAAUUUUGUCUUUAAAUGGGAGGUAUCUGAAUUUUUGAAUAAAAUUCAGUUUUGCAAUAUUUUACUUUUAUAAACAGCAAUAAAAUGCAUCAGAAAGAUCCAUUUAUAUCAAUAGUUCUGAGAAACACAUACUCUAAGAAAUUUCCAGAUGGUAUCAUGGAUUAUACAACAGAAGUAUUCAUGAGCAAGCCAGAAUUGAAAUAACACAAUGUCUUGUUUUACCUAUGUGACAUGUACAUGAGGUAAAUAAAUUUUCUUCCCAUAUGGUGGUUUGUAUAGGUGGGGACAUUGUUUGAAAUGAUCACACAUACUUGCACGCUAUUCAUGCCUGGGCUUUUUUCACUGAAGAGGAAUGACUAAGUGUGACUACAGCAGCUCACGAGGCCAAGAAUUCCAGGAAAGUCUUCUUGCCUGCCCAGGUGCAAUCUGUCAUUGGUUCAGGGAUAGAAAUCCUUUCUGAUCAUCUUCAUAACCCCCGGCAACUCAGAAAAGUUAGUUAAACAAGUAGUCUCUCAAAUUGGAUAUUAGUUAUCCCAAGAUGGCCAGCAAACAAUAGCCAGUGGCAAAAACACGUGACUGAUUUUGCCAUAUAUUCCUCACAAAUAUAACUUUAUAUAAUCCCUUAACCCUGUGGGUAUCAGUCCCGGCUACACAUUACUAUCAAAUUUAGACUUAAAAAAUGUCUAUGCCCAGGCCCUACUCUAGACAAAUUAAUCAGAAUUUCUUAGAAUGAGAUUUGGUGUUUAAAAUCUCCUCAUGAUGUUUAUAUGCAGACAUGGCUGGGAACAGUGGCCUCAAACAAUGGAAUCACUUAGUGAACUUUAUAAAGUAGAAAUACUUGGGUUCCACCCCCAAGGAUUCAGACUUAAUGGUGUGGAAUGUGGCCUGAACAUGAAGAGUUUUAAAAACUCCACAGAUGAUUCCAAUAUGCAGCAAGGCCAAGAUGACCUUAUAGAUGUCUGCCUCCUCUCUUUACAGAUCUGUAGAAAUCUAGGAAGAAGAAGGCUCUUAAAGCAGUGGCUCCAAUAUGGGGUCCCUUGAGAAGCAACAGAGAUAUUUAUAACUAUAAUAAUUCUUCACAUUUAUUUUAUAUUCAGUAUAUUUCAU
rnacentral:lncRNA from 1 species